AUUGAACGCUGGCGGCAGGCCUAACACAUGCAAGUCGAGCGAGCGGCGGACGGGUGAGCAAUGUCUGGGAUACUGCCUGAUGGAGGGGGAUAACUACUGGAAACGGUAGCUAAUAACGCAUACCAUCAGAUUUGCCCAGAUGGGAUUAGCUAGUAGGUGGGGUAACGGCUCACCUAGUCGACGAUCCCUAGCUGGUCUGAGAGGAUGACCAGCGAGACUGGAACUGAGACAGGGUCCAGACUCCUACGGGAGGCAGCAGUGGAGAAUAUUGAACAAUGGGAGCAAGCCUGAUGCAGCCAUGCGGCGUGUGUGAAGAAGGCCUUCGGGUUGUAAAGCACUUUCAGCGGGGAGACGUUACCCGCAGAAGAAGCACCGGCUAACUCCGUGCCAGCAGCCGCGGUAAUAC
rnacentral:rRNA from 1 species